GUAGGUGGCAAGCGUUGUCCGGAAUUAUUGGGCGUAAAGCGCGCGCAGGUGGUUCUUUAAGUCUGAUGUGAAAGCCCCCGGCUCGACCGGGGAGGGUCAUUGGAAACUGGGGAACUUGAGUGCAGGAGAGGAAGGUGGAAUUCCACGUGUAGCGGUGAAAUGCGUAGAUAUGUGGAGGAACACCAGUGGCGAAGGCGACUUUCUGGCCUGUAACUGACACUGAGGCGCGAAAGCGUGGGGAGCAAACAGGGAUUAGAUACCCUGGUAGUCCACGCCGUAAACGAUGAGUGCUAAGUGUUGGGGGGGUUUCCCGCCCCUCAGUGCUGCAGCUAACGCAUUAAGCACUCCGCCUGGGGAUACGGUCGCAAGACUG
rnacentral:rRNA from 1 species